rnacentral:rRNA from 1 species
UAUCCUACGGGGGGCAGCAGUGGGGAAUAUUGGACAAUGGGGGGAACCCUGAUCCAGCGACGCCGCGUGAGUGAAGAAGUAUUUCGGUAUGUAAAGCUCUAUCAGCAGGGAAGAAAGAAAUGACGGUACCUGACUAAGAAGCCCCGGCUAACUACGUGCCAGCAGCCGCGGUAAUACGUAGGGGGCGAGCGUUAUCCGGAUUUACUGGGUGUAAAGGGAGCGUAGACGGCUGGUCAAGUCUGAAGUGAAAGCCCGAGGCUUAACCCCGGAACGGCUUUGGAAACUGAGCAGCUAGAGUGC